rnacentral:rRNA from 1 species
GAAGGCAAGCGGAUCUCUUAAAGCCGUUCUCAGUUCGGACUGUAGGCUGCAACUCGCCUACACGAAGCUGGAAUCGCUAGUAAUCGCGGAUCAGCACGCCGCGGUGAAUACGGUUCCCGGGCCUUGUACACACCGCCCGUCACACCAUGAGAGUCUGUAACACCCAAAGCCGGUGGGAUAACCUUUAUAGGAGUCAGCCGUCUAAGGUAGGACAGAUGAUUAGGGUGAAGUCGUAACAAGGUACC